rnacentral:lncRNA from 1 species
AGAUCUUGUUUUAAAUAGUUUAAAGAAUUUUCUAACAAAAAUUCAAUUGAUUUGGAUAUCUUUACGCCGUUAAACGAGAAAACGCCUCAUAUCGACUAUUAAAAUUACAAAUUUUGAAACCCUUUGAUCAUUAGGCAAAUGAUGUCGAAAAGAUUUGAAAUUUGAUUUCUAAAUACUUCAAGUGAUAUAGAUCAUAUUCAACGGUGCCAAUCGUCGAUUUGCAUGCUGUAUCAUCGAAAAAAAAUGGGUGGUAACGAAGCCCGUUUGCUAUCGAUAGUAUUCUAGCUCAACUCUCUCUCUCUCUCUCCCUCUCUCUCUCUCUCUCUCUCUCUCUCUCUCUCUCUCUAUAUAUAUAUAUAUAUAUAUAUAUAUAUAUA